UGGGGAAUAUUGGACAAUGGGCGAAAGCCUGAUCCAGCCAUGCCGCGUGUGUGAAGAAGGCCUUUUGGUUGUAAAGCACUUUAAGUGGGGAGGAAAAGCUUAUGGUUAAUACCCAUAAGCCCUGACGUUACCCACAGAAUAAGCACCGGCUAACUCUGUGCCAGCAGCCGCGGUAAUACAGAGGGUGCAAGCGUUAAUCGGAAUUACUGGGCGUAAAGCGCGCGUAGGUGGUUAUUUAAGUCAGAUGUGAAAGCCCCGGGCUUAACCUGGGAACUGCAUCUGAUACUGGAUAACUAGAGUAGGUGAGAGGGGAGUAGAAUUCCAGGUGUAGCGGUGAAAUGCGUAGAGAUCUGGAGGAAUACCGAUGGCGAAGGCAGCUCCCUGGCAUCAUACUGACACUGAGGUGCGAAAGCGUGGGUAGCAAACAGGAUUAGAUACCCUGGUAGUCCACGCCGUAAACGAUGUCUACCAGUCGUUGGGUCUUUUAAAGACUUAGUGACGCAGUUAACGCAAUAAGUAGACCGCCUGGGGAGUACGGCCGCAAGGUUA
rnacentral:rRNA from 1 species